GCCUCCCUGAAGCCUGAACUCAGCAGGCCCAGCAAGCCAGGAAGGAGGCUGGCAGAGCUCCCUUCAGCAGACCAGACCAUCCAGCGCAGCUUUUGCAAGAUGUAAACCAUCUUCUAUAUCUGCCUGGAACCCCAGAAGGACUAAAGCCACACCACCCUGAACAGGCCUGAUAUCUAACCUCAGACCCCCAGAAGAUGACCAGUGCACGGGGAAGAACAUGUUGCACAAACAAAGGUGUCUGAAAUUUCCAUGACAGCUGCACACAUGGCUGAAUAGGCCAACUGGUUUUAGCUUGCCUGGUCACCCAUGCAAGCAGCUGCAGCAACUCCACAAAUACUUCUGGCCAAUGGGCACCAGCCUCUCCUACUUGUAUAUGUAUGUGGCUUUGCAGAAGGGAAGCCUUUAAAGCCUUUCUUGAAAGAAGAGAUAAAGAAGAGAUAAAGAUAAAAGGCUCCACUUGAACUAAGAUGGAACCAGACAGCUGGUGCUUAAAAUCACAAAGGUCACAGAGCAGCUUUUAAAUGAUGCCUAGGCAGUUGCCAACAGGAACUGAGUAGUAUCUCCUUCAGCAAGCAAAAUCCCUUAAAGGGCAAGGGUGCAGGUAAACCAAAAAGGGAUGGAGCAGAACCAGGAGGAGCAGAUAGAAGCACACAAGAGCUGGUCAAAAAGGUCAAAUGAAAGUAAAGGAGAUUGCACACACCAAUGCCAGGGUAUAAUGACACAGCUGGAGCAGUUUGCUCAGGAAGAGUGGGCCAAACUACCUGUUGAAGGUGCAGAAGUCUCAUUGAGAGCUACAGGAAUCACUUGUUUGCAGUGACUGCCUCUAAAGGUUGUCCAACAAAAUAUUAGUUAAGGGUGCCAUUGAACCAGCCCAUUAUCCCCAAUUGUGGAGCACCUAGGGGCACAAAAGUGGGGUGCCUUUUGGUAGGCACCUCUGGGUGCUUACCACCCACAAAACCCCAAUGCAAUCGGACACUCCUCCGAUUAUAAGAGCCUCCACAUUAUAAGAGUCUCCCCAUCUCUGGCAACUUUUAAAAAGGCUCUGAAGACACAUUUAUUCACCCAGGCUUUUAAUUAGAUUUAUAGUUUUAAUAGUUUUAAUCUUGGCUUUUAAAUGAUUUUAAUUGUAAACUGCCCAGAGAUGCAAGUUUUGGGCAGUAUAGAAAUGUUUUUAAAAUAAUAAAUAAAUAAAUAAAUAUAAAAUUAAGUCAUCACUGAGUGAUCCCAACCCAAAACUCUGUUAUUAUGAAAGAGGCAAAAGCAAGGGCAUAGCAAGGUUGUAGUGGGCUCAGGGACAAAAAGUGGAGACGAACCCUUGGUCCCCCUGGCCCCGCACCUUCUUCAAGAAGCAGCUAGUGGAGAGCAGAGAGCAAGCUGUUGCUCAGCUAAAGAAAGCUGGUGAUAUUUGAUAUCAGCAAAUAUAUUUGAUACCAGCAAAUAUAUCAGCAAAUAUCUGAUAUCUGAUACAAAUAUCUGAUAAAAAUAUAUGAUAUCCCAUAUCUGAUAUAUAAGGGAUAUAUCAGAUAUCAGGUGACAGAUAUAUUAGUAGCUAUAUCAGAUAUAUAAGGAACAGAUCAGAAAUAUAUCAGAUAUCCUAUAAAUAUCUGAUAUGCAAAUAUUUGUCAAUCAGUAAAUGAUGAUAUCAGCUGGUGAGGGCUGGUGAUAUUUGUCAUCUAUCUAUCUAUCUAUCUAUCUAUCUAUCUAUCUAUCUAUAUCAGUCAAUCACAUUUCUAGACUGCCCCAUCCAAAUUAUCUACACCCCUGGGCAGAAGAGAGUGUCUAGCCAGUUGGCAAAUAAUUUUGUAAACCUCUAAAACAUCCCUCUGCCAUCUUUUCUUCUAAACUAAAAAGGCUAGCAAGAAUACAUAUCCCACUGACACUAUCCACAUACCCAAGAACUAAGGAAGUUUAUGUUCAGCCAUAUCAUGGAAAAUAUUCCAGAGUUUAACUUUAAUGCUUUAUCUCAUAAUUCCUUAUUUGAAUCAACACUUUCCCAGGACUAUUUUAUCAGUGGGGGGAAAGUAUUUCUUUCUCCUUACAUGGGGCAGAAAGAGAUCAAAAUGUAUUACGAGGCCUUCCUGCAGAGUGCCAAUGCAUUCAUGAAGCUCAGCAUAUUUAAUGGCUUGUCCUCUUUUAUGCCACCAUACCUGCCGUGCUGAAUUUGAACCAUGGUCCAGUAGGGACAAGACUAGAACCUGUGAGCUGAAGCCAAGAAGUUAUUCUUGCAGGCAAGAUUCUACCUUUGAAAAGGAAGAGCAUUAGCAAAGAAUAAAGAUGAGGAGAGGCCUCUAGGCUCUAUUUCACUCAUCAUUAUCUCUAGAGGUCUCUCUACGCUUGGCACCCAGCACAGCAUGAGUGGGGCUGUCCCAUGUUUUUUUGCUGGUUAAUUGAAGCGGAGUGGUUGUAGAGAUGUUCUAUUCAUACUCAGAAGAGCAUUGGGUUUAGGCAGGCCUUGGAGGCAGCUGCAUGUGAGUGGUGAAUUUAGAGGGGCUGGACAUCUGAUGUAUUUCCCAAGAUCCCCCCGAUCACCCUGUAUACACCACAAACAUCCAGCAAUAUCCAGAACCUCUCAUCACUCAGGCCCUUUCCUGGCAUAAAGAAGACCCUCUCCAGUCUCAUGUAAGACACACCAAGUGGGGUGAGAUCUGGAAAGCCCCACCAUUGCCAGGAAGGAGACUAGAUGAUAGCAUCUUUGGAGUCUGAAACAUUUGUGUUGAUUCAAAAAAAAUUAGUCACUUUUCUCCAUGCUCACACAGACAUAACAGCAAUAUUAGUGAUAGAUUGUGGAACCUACUUAAAUAUUAUGGGAAUCAGUUUCUGAUAGGUGUGGGAAAUCAUUGACCAAGUAAAACCUAAAAGUGAGGUUUUAAAACUAGCGGGUGGGAAGGAAUAUUAAUGAAAUCCCCCUCCCCUUGGCCUCGUGCAGAGGGGAGGGAGUUUGUCCCAAGCCCUGCCCUGCAUGAGACCCAAGAAGCGGGCUGAUUGGCCCCUUUAGUUUUGUGGGUGUGGUUUCGGCCGUGAUCGGCCGUUCCACACCCCAGGCUCCUCAGUUCGGCCUGGGCAUUCCUCUCCCUCCCUUCCCUGGUGCAGAGCGGGUCUAGUGACUGGUCGCCCGAGGGGGCUGAGUAGGAAUUUUUUGCUCCCAACGCAUUGGCCACAGUUGGGUUUUUUUCCGCCUACUCCGUUCUGUACCCAGGUGUUUAGUUAGAGUUAGGCCGGCCACAUUGGCAGUAACAGUGCGGGUUGGGGGGUAAGUUGAGGGAUAGAACAUCGGUGAGCACCCUUGGAUAUUUAAAAGGUUGACUGGUCAAUUGCUCCUUUGUGGCCUGUGCGGCACGGGGAGAAUGGAUUGCCAUGAAACCUGCUGCAGGACUUCACCAACCUUUGGGCUGUGCAGUCCGGGGUGGGUGAAGACCUUGAAGUAUCCAGAUCCCCUCUUCUAAAGUGGGGGUUGGCUUUGAAGGAAUUGGAUGAGGCGUACCUGCCUGUUUCCAGAGCCAGGGUGUGUCGCCCAGUAAGGCGCUGGGUAGGACGUCAGAGUCCUAACCCAGGCCUAGUGGCCCGCACUGUUCUCUAAGGGUGAUUAAUCACCUGGCGUUCCAGUCCGCCAUGUCUGUUGUUUCUGUUAAUAAAGUUGUGGCCCUUUUUAC